AUUGAACGCUGGCGGCAUGCUUUACACAUGCAAGUCGAACGGUAGCAGGCCGCAAGGUGCUGACGAGUGGCGAACGGGUGAGUAAUGCAUCGGAACGUGCCCAGUCGUGGGGGAUAACGCAGCGAAAGCUGCGCUAAUACCGCAUACGAUCUAUGGAUGAAAGCGGGGGACCGUAAGGCCUCGCGCGAUUGGAGCGGCCGAUGUCAGAUUAGGUAGUUGGGGGGGUAAAGGCUCACCAAGCCAACGAUCUGUAGCUGGUCUGAGAGGACGACCAGCCACACGGGGACGGAGACACGGCCCAGACUCCUACGGGAGGCAGCAGUGGGGAAUUUUGGACAAUGGGCGCAAGCCUGAUCCAGCAAUGCCGCGUGAAGGAAGAAGGCCUUCGGGUUGUAAACUGCUUUUGUACGGAACGAAACGGCUCUGGUUAAUACCUGGGGCUAAUGACGGUACCGUAAGAAUAAGCACCGGCUAACUACGUGCCAGCCGCCGCAGUAAGAC
rnacentral:rRNA from 1 species